GGGUAACCUACCCUAUGCUGGGGAAUAAGCUCGGGAAACUGAGAAUAAUACCCCAUAGUCCACUACGCCUGGAACGGUGAGUGGAUCAAAGCUCCGGCGGCAUAGGAUGGGCCUGCGGCGUAUCAGGUUGUAGGGGGUGUAAUGUACCCUCUAGCCAUCCACGCGUACGGGUGUUGGGAGACAUUGCCCGGAGAUGGAUUCUGAGACACGAAUCCAGACCCUACGGGGUGCAGCAGGCGCGAAAACUUGGCAAUGCGAGAAAUCGUGACCAGGGAACUCCAAGUGGCAGGGGUAAGACCCUGUCUUUUUCCGACUCUAAAUAGGUCGGCGAAUAAGGGGUGGGUAAGGACGGUGCCAGCCGCCGCGGUAAUACCGGCGCCUCAAGUGGUAGUCGCUUUUAUUGGGCCUAAAACGUCCGUAGCCGGUCUGGUACAUUCGUGGGUAAAUCAACUCGCUCAACGAGUUGAAUUCUGCGAGGACGGCCAGACUUGGGACCGGGAGAGGUGUGGGGUACUCUCAGGGUAGGGGUAAAAUCCUGUCAUCCUGAGAGGACCACCUGUUGCGAAGGCUCCACACUAGAACGGAUCCGACGGUCAGGGACGAAGCCUACGGGCACGAACCGGAUUAGAUACCCGGGUAGUCCUAGGUGUAAACGCUGUGGACUUGAUGUUGGGGACGCUCCGAGCGUUCUCAGUGUC
rnacentral:rRNA from 1 species